UGGCCAGCAAGUACGCCGUGGGAUACGUCACGGGGCUCCAGGACGCCGGCGCCGGCGGCGUCACCGACGGCGCGCUCAAGGUCGCCGCCUGCUGCAAGCACUACACCGCCUACGACGUCGACAACUGGAAGGGCGUCGAGCGAUACACCUUCGACGCAAAGGUAUGCUUAUCACUGCUGGCUUCACUUCACUUCAGUGCACUGUCAGUCAGCUAGGGAUUAGAUGAUUUUGGGCAGGCUACGUUACGUUGCCUGGCUCUGGCUGGCUGCCAUGAUUGGCUGAUGGCGUGAAUGCUUGCCGUCCUGCACCGGAGGCAUUUUAAUGGACGGCUCUGCGUCUCUGACGUGCUCGUAGAUGAUGUACUACGUGCUGUACACAGUAGUACACUAUUACUGAUAAAAGCGCGUCGGUAGUACUCCCUUCGUCUAAAGACUCAAAAAUGACUCAGCUUUACACUAAUUUUAGUAUAAAAUUGAGUUAUUUUUCAGUCAUUUAUUUUGGGAUGGAGAGAGUAUAAUUUAAGCAAUCUAUCACCAAUUUUGUAUUGGUAGAUGGUAGCUAGAAUCAAUGUAGUGGCACUCAGUGCUGUGCUACUAAAUUGGAUCCGUUUCUUGUCGAGCUGCGAUGCUGAGCCACACAUCGCUAGUUCCCCGCCAAGAAAAAUAAUAAAAAGCAUCGCUAGUUAGUUUCUACUGCUUUUUUNNNNNNNNNNNNNNNNNNNNNNNNNNNNNNNNNNNNNNNNNNNNNNNNNNNNNNNNNNNNNNNNNNNNNNNNNNNNNNNNNNNNNNNNNNNNNNNNNNNNNNNNNNNNNNNNNNNNNNNNNNNNNNGCAAAUCUGGUAGCAGUAGAGGAAGCAUUUGAGGUCCCAUAUCACGCAGCGCAGCUUUUUUCCAAGUGCAAAUCGCCGUAGACUCCACCACCGUCAGUCCAUCGACCAGCUAGCUCUUGUCCUCGUCGAGUUUGGGAAAAGUGGCUACAAACUCGUAGCGGCAGGCAACGAUGCUGUUCCUGUUCUUUUCGAUGCCUGGGUUUGACACCAUCUUGGAGAUUAACGAGUUGAUUAAACCAAGCUAAGCUAAGCUAGAAUGGAGUGAUCAUCGGUCUACUAUUUUCCUUGGUGAUGUAGGGGGAGGCUGGGAUCCAACAGCCAGCCUGCCCACCCACCAAAUUAGGGUUCUCAUAGGUCGCAACAAUCCAGCAGGCAGUGGCCACUCCAGUCCAGUCACUGCUGUCCGUCCUGCAUUACUCUUUUUUCCCUUCAUUCGGUUGCACCUACCAUAUACCAUAUCAUAUCAUAUCAUCAUCCACUGCUUGCCUGGACCAACGCCCAGCUACCGCCACUUUCAGAGCGACCGUGCAUGGAUCGACAUUGUAGACAUUAAUUCUGAUGAGUGAAAUGCAUUGGGAAAUGGUGCAGGUGGUGUCGACGGAGGCGCGGGCGAUGCACAACGUGGGGCUGGCGGGGCUGACGUUCUGGAGCCCAAACAUCAACAUCUUCAGGGACCCGCGGUGGGGCCGGGGCCAGGAGACGCCCGGCGAGGACCCGCUGCUGGCCAGCAAGUACGCCGUGGGAUACGUCACGGGGCUCCAGGACGCCGGCGCCGGCGGCGUCACCGACGGCGCGCUCAAGGUCGCCGCCUGCUGCAAGCACUACACCGCCUACGACGUCGACAACUGGAAGGGCGUCGAGCGAUACACCUUCGACGCAAAGGUAUGCUUAUCACUGCUGGCUUCACUUCACUUCAGUGCACUGUCAGUCAGCUAGGGAUUAGAUGAUUUUGGGCAGGCUACGUUACGUUGCCUGGCUCUGGCUGGCUGCCAUGAUUGGCUGAUGGCGUGAAUGCUUGCCGUCCUGCACCGGAGGCAUUUUAAUGGACGGCUCUGCGUCUCUGACGUGCUCGUAGAUGAUGUACUACGUGCUGUACACAGUAGUACACUAUUACUGAUAAAAGCGCGUCGGUAGUACUCCCUUCGUCUAAAGACUCAAAAAUGACUCAGCUUUACACUAAUUUUAGUAUAAAAUUGAGUUAUUUUUCAGUCAUUUAUUUUGGGAUGGAGAGAGUAUAAUUUAAGCAAUCUAUCACCAAUUUUGUAUUGGUAGAUGGUAGCUAGAAUCAAUGUAGUGGCACUCAGUGCUGUGCUACUAAAUUGGAUCCGUUUCUUGUCGAGCUGCGAUGCUGAGCCACACAUCGCUAGUUCCCCGCCAAGAAAAAUAAUAAAAAGCAUCGCUAGUUAGUUUCUACUGCUUUUUUUUGUUGACAGCAGGUUCCCGCUGCUAGUUGCAAUACUUUGCUGCACCCUGAUCCACCCCGCUGCUGCAAAUUUAGUAAAUUAUGCAACACACUUAUAAGUUCCAACUUAAUCAUUGUACACUUAACUACAGAAUUGGGGAAUGUCUGGACAGGUGUAGGUGGAUAGAUACAGAUUGCGAGCUGUUUUUUUUAAUUAAUUAAUCACCACAGAUCCUGGUGGUUGCAGCUCCUCUAAAAAAGAUGGCACAUCCAGGCAAUGACCAUCGCCCAAAACCCAUAAAACAAUGCUGCAAUGCCACCUCGCUGGCAGCGUCUGGGAGCCCUUGUCACAGAUUGAUUCCAUCCAUUUUCCUAUGCAUCACGGGGUACGGUGGUGCGCUAGGACACGAGCAGCGACGGCAUCUUCUGUUUUUAGCAGUAUGUGGAUCACUAAGCAGAUAAUGUUAUAGUAUGAUGAUGGUGCGCCUAAUCAUGGGUGUCGCAUUACAAGCUAUCGUGCUUCUGCGAUCAGCACUCGGAACACUGUCGUUACUCACUAGCAGCAUGCGUCACUCCACUCCAGCAUUAUUGUCAGAGAAGCAGCAUGCCAAACUUUCUGAACGAUUAACCGUACAUCCGUGAACUAGAAGCUUGCGAUAAGGAG
rnacentral:lncRNA from 1 species